AGGAUGAACGCUGGCGGCGUGCCUAAUACAUGCAAGUCGAGCGGUAAGGCUACUUCGGUAGUACACGAGCGGCGGACGGCUGAGUAACACGUAGGAACGUACCCCAAAGUGAGGCAUAAGCACCAGAAAUGGUGUCUAAUACCGCAUGUGAUCUUCGGAUUAAAGCUUCGGCGCUUUGGGAACGGCCUGCGCAUGAUUAGCUUGUUGGUGAGGUAAUAGCUCACCAAGGCGACGAUCAUUAGCUGGUCUGAGAGGAUGACCAGCCAGACUGGGACUGAGAACGGCCCAGACUCCUACGGGAGGCAGCAGUAGGGAAUUUUCCACAAUGGGCGAAAGCCUGAUGGAGCAACGCCGCGUGCAGGAUGAAGGCUCUCGGGUCGUAAACUGCUUUUAUAUGUGAAGAUUAUGACGGUAGCAUAUGAAUAAGGAUCGGCUAACUCCGCGCCAGCGCCGCGGU
rnacentral:rRNA from 1 species